rnacentral:rRNA from 1 species
AUACGAAGGGGGCUAGCGUUGUUCGGAAUUACUGGGCGUAAAGCGCGCGUAGGCGGACUGAUCAGUUGGGGGUGAAAUCCCAGGGCUUAACCCUGGAACUGCCUCCAAUACUGUCAGUCUUGAGUUCGGGAGAGGUGAGUGGAAUUCCUAGUGUAGAGGUGAAAUUCGUAGACAUUAGGAAGAACACCAGUGGCGAAGGCGGCUCACUGGCCCGAUACUGACGCUGAGGCGCGAAAGCGUGGGGAGCAAACAGGAUUAGAAACCCUAGUAGUCC